rnacentral:rRNA from 1 species
GGAGGGGCUCGCGUCCCAUUAGAUAGAUGGCGGGGUAACGGCCCACCAUGUCGACGAUGGGUAGCCGAGCUGAGAGGCUGAUCGGCCACACUGGAACUGAGACACGGUCCAGACUCCUACGGGAGGCAGCAGUGGGGAAUAUUGGGCAAUGGGCGCAAGCCUGAGCCAGCAACGCCGCGUGAGGGAAGAAGGCUUUCGGGUUGUAAACCUCUGUCCUUGGUGACGAAACAAAUGACGGUAGCCAAGGAGGAAGCCCCGGCUAACUACGUGCCAGCAGCCGCGGUAAUACGUAGGGGGCGAGCGUUGUCCGGAAUUACUGGGCGUAAAGGGUGCGUAGGCGGCCUUUUAAGUUGGAUGUGAAAUACCCGGGCUUAACUUGGGGGGUGCAUCUAAUACUGGAGGGCUAGAGUGCAGGAGAGGGAAGCGGAAUUCCUAGUGUAGCGGUGAAAUGCGUAGAUAUUAGGAGGAACACCAGUGGCGAAGGCGGCUUUCUGGACUGUAACUGACGCUGAGGCACGAAAGCGUGGGGAGCAAACAGGAUUAGAUACCCUGGUAGUCCACGCUGUAAACGAUGUUGACUAGGUGUAGGGGGUAUCAACUCCCCCUGUGCCGGAGCUAACGCAAUAA